AGAUACAUACAUUCCGGAAUACAUCGUACUCAACAGAAAUACUCCACUAUUAUAAUGAAUAAUAAUGAUGUUGCAAACUUGAUGUUCAAGUGAAGGGCCGAUACAUACAUUCUGGAAUACAUCGUACCCAACGGGGAAUUUUUCUAUGCCACAACCAUUUGAGAUAGGCUCCGCCGGCCGGAGGUGCCGCUGCUUCCGCCGCGGGAGGGGCCGGUUCUGUGGGCGUGCCGGCGUCUCCGCUGCCGGGAGCCACGUCGGUGGAAGCCCCGCGGCGGGCUCGGGUUUGGCCGAGCGUCGGGUGCAGGCUCCUCCACGCGCUGGAUGGCGCGAUAGCGCCGCACGCCGAGGCAGGGAGCCACCGCGUCGUCGGUCAAGAGCCGCGGGAGCAAACAGCGCCGAGGGCGAUGUUGCAGGCUCCACCGCGAGCCGUGAUGGGAGAGCGCCGCUGCGCAGCACACCGGACAAAGCGGGGGAGCGUCGCAGGUCUCCGUCGUUGUGGACAGAGAGUGUUUCGAGGCAGCCGCCUGCACGUGCAGGCCGGGGGCGUCGUGCCGUGUCGACGGCGUUGAGGCCCGCGCAGUGUUGUGCGCCAGGGCUACGCCGACUGCCGCAGGUGCUCAGACUUGAGCACGGGGCCUCCUCCGCCGCGUGAUGCGGCUGCGCUGCGGAGAGCCAGGCCGAGGGCCGCUCGGAGGAGCGGCGUGUCAUGGCUGUGGUCUCCACCGCGCCGGGGCGGGUUGGUGCUACUGCAGGCCUCUUCCACGAGGAUCUUGCUGCUGCAGUGACGUCGAGGCGACGAGCAGCACCGGCCGGUAGUACCAGCACAAGGGAAAUUAGAAAAUGACAUGCAAUCCUUUCAAUUCAUCAUGCCCACAUGCUCGAAUGAAGCAAUUCUCAACACGGCAGUGGCCGGUUGACUCGUCACAGGUCACAGCGAUUUGUGCUAAUUAGCCAGACUCUGAACAACGCCACCGGGGCAAGCCAUGGACGCUCGCCGUUGUUGUUCGGAGGCCGUGGUCGGGGAGGCACCGGGUUCCGCUGGCGGCGUUUCAGGCGUACAUAACCGCUGCCUGGGAUGGCCUAUUUCUCUCGUCGGAGAGCAAAGGGCUGAUAACGUGUUUGAGAUUGAACGAGAGAUGAAUGAAUAGUAAAGCAAAACUGUUGAUCUCUUUCAUUAAUGAUUAGGCUUAUAUACAAUCUGAGAAGACGCAACAGAGGGACGCGUCCAUUCCCGAACA